rnacentral:rRNA from 1 species
UGCAGUCGACGGACUCAGCCGGUGGUAACACCGGCGAAAGUUAGUGGCGAACGGGUGCGUAACACGUGAGCAACCUACCCUAGAGACUGGGAUAACACCGGGAAACCGGUGCUAAUACCGGAUACCCCCAUCCCAUCGCAUGGUGGAAUGAGGAAAUGUUUUUCGCUCUUGGAGGGGCUCGCGGCCUAUCAGCUUGUUGGUGAGGUAACGGCUCACCAAGGCUUCGACGGGUAGCUGGUCUGAGAGGACGACCAGCCACACUGGGACUGAGACACGGCCCAGACUCCUACGGGAGGCAGCAGUGGGGAAUAUUGCGCAAUGGGCGAAAGCCUGACGCAGCAACGCCGCGUGGAGGAUGAAGGCUCUCGGGUUGUAAACUCCUUUCAGCAGGGAAGAAAUUGACGGUACCUGCAGAAGAAGCACCGGCCAACUACGUGCCAGCAGCCGCGGUAAUACGUAGGGUGCAAGCGUUGUCCGGAUUCAUUGGGCGUAAAGAGCUCGUAGGCGGCUUGGCAAGUCAGAUGUGAAACCCUCAGGCUUAACCUGGGGAUGCCAUCUGAUACUGCUAUGGCUAGAGUGCGGUAGGGGACUACGGAAUUCCUGGUGUAGCGGUGAAAUGCGCAGAUAUCACGAGGAACACCGGUGGCGAA